UACAGAGGGUGCAAGCGUUAAUCGGAAUUACUGGGCGUAAAGCGUGCGCAGGUGGUUACGUAAGUCGGGUGUGAAAGCCCCGGGCUCAACCUGGGAAUUGCAUUCGAGACUGCGUAGCUAGGGUGCGGAAGAGGGAAGCGGAAUUUCCGGUGUAGCGGUGAAAUGCGUAGAUAUCGGAAGGAACACCAGUGGCGAAAGCGGCUUCCUGGUCCAGCACCGACAUUCAGGCACGAAAGCGUGGGGAGCAAACAGG
rnacentral:rRNA from 1 species